GAAGCUCGCCAGACCGCCGCUGGCGCACCAGCCCGCAAGGGCGCGCUGGAGGAACGUCCGGACUGCACAGGGCAGCGUAGGAGGUAACGCCUCUCCACCGCGAGGUGAGGAUCAGAGCCACAGAGACGAGCCGGUUCAGACCGGGGUGAAACGCGGCAAUCUCUACGCGCAGCAACACCAAGUAGGCCAGCCUGGGGGCAACCCCUGCCUGUGGCCCGCAGGCCGCGCUGGCGGGUAGGUGGCAUCGAGCCGCUCGGGUGACCGGCGGCCCAGAGGAAUGGCGGUCACGCGGGGCUUGCCCCGCGCACAGAAUCCGGCGUACCGGCGGGCUUCACUU
rnacentral:RNase_P_RNA from 1 species